UGGGGAAUAUUGCACAAUGGGCGCAAGCCUGAUGCAGCCAUGCCGCGUGUGUGAAGAAGGCCUUCGGGUUGUAAAGCACUUUCAGCGGGGAGGAAGGCGAUAAGGUUAAUAACCUUGUCGAUUGACGUUACCCGCAGAAGAAGCACCGGCUAACUCCGUGCCAGCAGCCGCGGUAAUACGGAGGGUGCAAGCGUUAAUCGGAAUUACUGGGCGUAAAGCGCACGCAGGCGGUCUGUCAAGUCGGAUGUGAAAUCCCCGGGCUUAGCCUGGGAACUGCAUUCGAAACUGGCAGGCUAGAGUCUUGUAGAGGGGGGUAGAAUUCCAGGUGUAGCGGUGAAAUGCGUAGAGAUCUGGAGGAAUACCGGUGGCGAAGGCGGCCCCCUGGACAAAGACUGACGCUCAGGUGGGAAAGCGUGGGGAGCAAACAGG
rnacentral:rRNA from 1 species